UACGUAGGUCCCGAGCGUUGUCCGGAUUUAUUGGGCGUAAAGCGAGCGCAGGUGGUUUAUUAAGUCUGGUGUAAAAGGCAGUGGCUCAACCAUUGUAUGCAUUGGAAACUGGUAGACUUGUGUGCAGGAGAGGAGAGUGGAAUUCCAUGUGUAGCGGUGAAAUGCGUAGAUAUAUGGAGGAACACCGGUGGCGAAAGCGGCUCUCUGGCCUGUAACUGACACUGAGGCUCGAAAGCGUGGGGAGCAAACAGG
rnacentral:rRNA from 1 species